rnacentral:lncRNA from 7 species
AGGGGAGGUCCCAGCGCUACUGGGCCUGCCCAAAGGGAGGGGUGGCCCGGACAGGAAAUCCCUCCCCUUUACCUACAUAGGGAGGCGCCAUUUUCUUUCAGUCUGCCUUUUCACAGGGAGCUGCCGCCAUUUUGUGAAACUGCAGGGGCGCCAUUUUGUUUCAGUCCACAUUCCAUAGGGGGGAGCCUCCAUUUUGUGGCACUUUGUGCUCCCGAGACUGCACUGCUCUCUGACUGCAGUACUUUAGUUGUUGUGAUUUGGCCUGGGAUUGAGUGCCGUGGCCUGGCAGAGUCUCACGGGUGCUGGUUAUUGGAUUCUUUUCGUGAAAACAGAGGUGCUAACACACGCGUGCUUUUGGCUGCUGCAGAGCAGUGCUUGCACAGAGCCAAGGACUUUUCUGCUUCUUGUGCUGUUCAUCCAGCGAGGAGGCAGGGGACAGAGCAGAAGCUGGGAGCAGCCACAGCCAGGAGACGGAGCCACACAGCCGGCCCAAACGGGCCGGGAUGUCACGCUCGGCAAUGAAAGCGUGUGUCAAGCAGGAGGAAUGGGUCAUGGUGGGAUGGAUGCUCUUGCCUUCCCAAGAGAUGGUUACGUGCACUGAGCGCGCUGUUCCUGGAUGUGGCUGAAUAUCGGCCUGCCGAUGGCAUGCAGGGAAUGUGUCCCCCGUUUUCCUGGUUGUGCGGGCCUGGUUUUUGCUUUCCCUAGUACGGUGUCUUGCUCUCAGCCCCCUGAGUUCUCGCACCGUUGCCUUCCCGCCUUUGUCCCCGCUCCCGACCUGGGGCCGGUGAGACAGGGCUGUUUAUCAGUCUGCGGGGCUAAACCACGACAACGCUAGCAAACAGACACACGUGUAUCAAGAUAAUAACAACAUUAGAUACGUGUACGUACUCCUAAAAGCGUGGGCGUCAACGGGGCAGUCUGUUCUUUCCAGACAAGCUUUUGCUGAACUGCGUGAAUGCAGAAAUUCAGCAGGCACACCCAGGAAAGACAGCAUUGGUUGGAGGAGCUCCUCAGCAGCAGAAAGUGGUGGUUACAUCUGCCCCCAGCCUUUGUGCCGAAAAGCUCAGGUGACUCCCGGCGUGCGCUUAUGGCAAGCAGAAGGAUUGCUUAAGGCCAUCACUAAGUGACCCGUGGACCAGGUGGGCACAAGACUGUUCUACCAGCUGCAUUUGUUUUUGCAGCGGCUGUGUUUUCUUGCCCGGCACGUGACCUGUAACGCCGAGAAAAGAAAGCACCUGGACACAAGCACCACAGCAGUUCAAAUCGCACAAACACGGUCAGGGUGUGCAGGUCACUUGUUCUCUCACCUUCCCGGUGAAGAACAGGAAGGGCCCACCUGGCCGCCUAGAAAGGGGCCAACAAACACCUCCCCACGCUCACCGCUAUCUGGGGUCCCGCUCGCCGACUUUACCGCUUCAGGCUCACCUGACUACACACAGCGGGCAGAUGAGCUCCCCCUACCGCUCGGCCGGCGAGACGCCGAGCAGUGUGGAGCGUGCAGCUGCUGCUGCUGCUGCUGCUUCUGCGGGUGGUGGUGCUCUGCUGAGCGGCGCCUCCAUCCUGCAGCUCUUCCCAGCUACCAGCUGGAGGCACACUGCGCAGAGUGCAUGCCAGGGCAAGGAAUGUUUUGGGAGUGAAGGGGAGAUCCCAG